rnacentral:rRNA from 1 species
GAUGAACGCUGGCGGCGUGCCUAAUACAUGCAAGUCGAGCGAACAGAUGAGGAGCUUGCUCCUCUGACGUUAGCGGCGGACGGGUGAGUAACACGGGGAUAACCUACCUAUAAGACUGGGAUAACUUCGGGAAACCGGAGCUAAUACCGGAUAAUAUAUUGAACCGCAUGGUUCAAUAGUGAAAGACGGUUUUGCUGUCACUUAUAGAUGGAUCCGCGCCGCAUUAGCUAGUUGGUAAGGUAACGGCUUACCAAGGCAACGAUGCGUAGCCGACCUGAGAGGGUGAUCGGCCACACUGGAACUGAGACACGGUCCAGACUCCUACGGGAGGCAGCAGUAGGGAAUCUUCCGCAAUGGGCGAAAGCCUGACGGAGCAACGCCGCGUGAGUGAUGAAGGUCUUCGGAUCGUAAAACUCUGUUAUUAGGGAAGAACAAAUGUGUAAGUAACUAUGCACGUCUUGACGGUACCUAAUCAGAAAGCCACGGCUAACUACGUG